rnacentral:rRNA from 1 species
UACGAAGGAUGCGAGCGUUAUCCGGAUUUAUUGGGUUUAAAGGGAGCGUAGGCGGCCUUAUAAGUCAGUGGUGAAAUCCUAUCGCUUAACGAUAGACGUGCCAUUGAUACUGUAGGGCUUGAGUACAGAUGCCGUUGGCGGAAUGUGUCAUGUAGCGGUGAAAUGCAUAGAUAUGACACAGAACACCGAUUGCGAAGGCAGCUCACUAAGUCAUAACUGACGCUGAUGCACGAAAGCGUGGGGAGCAAACAGG